ACAAACAAACAAAAAAACCAAAAAACCAAAAAAACCUAACCUGUUUUCCUCUUGUUUUCUGAGGAUAAUUUGGCCAGUAAUUUUCAUGCCAAAAACUCAUACCUCUAGUUGAGAGACAUGAAAAGAUCAAGCUUGAUUCUGUAACUGUCUUCUCUCCUUCUAAGAGCAGGAAGUUGAUGUGGCAAGAUGCUUCCUCUGACCCGAAUGCUUGGUGUAAAUGAUCAGCAGACAAUCAGGUUAGCCAGUGCUCCUGUCCAGGGCCUGAGGUUCAGAGAGAGAGAGACAGUGCGAGAGCAGGGGAGGAGCAGAAGAAAGAGAGGGAGACACAGAAUCCAAAGCAGGCUCCAGGCUCUGAGCUGUCAGCAGAAAGCCCAAGAUACGGCAUUCUGGUUUUCCUACCUUCCCUAUUCUUGGACUAUGUGAGUUUGGUAUAUUAAGAGUAGUGUUGGUCAAGGCAAGACCAAAGCACAGGAGCUUCUAAUGAAGAUGAAGAAUUAUUUUUGGAGAUAGAGGAAGAACAACAGAAGAAUUCCUUCAAAAAUGAAUGAAGAUCAUCAGAUAAAGCAAUAUAUAUGUAUCAAAACCAAGCAUAUUUUAAAAAAUCAAAAGAGCAAAGAAAAAACGUUUUUUUUUUUUU